CCUACGGGAGGCAGCAGUGAGGAAUAUUGGUCAAUGGACGAGAGUCUGAACCAGCCAAGUAGCGUGAAGGAUGACUGCCCUAUGGGUUGUAAACUUCUUUUAUAUGGGAAUAAAACGUUCCACGUGUGGGAUUUUGUAUGUACCAUAUGAAUAAGGAUCGGCUAACUCCGUGCCAGCAGCCGCGGUAAUACGGAGGAUCCGAGCGUUAUCCGGAUUUAUUGGGUUUAAAGGGAGCAUAGGUGGAUUGUUAAGUCCGUUGUGAAAGUUUGCGGCUCAACCGUAAAAUUGCAGUUGAAACUGGCAGUCUUGAGUACAGUAGAGGUGGGCGGAAUUCGUGGUGUAGCGGUGAAAUGCUUAGAUAUCACGAAGAACUCCGAUUGCGAAGGCAGUUCACUGGACUGCAACUGACACUGAGGCUCGAAAGUGUGGGUAUCAAACAGGAUUAGAUACCCUUGUAGUC
rnacentral:rRNA from 1 species